GCCUUCUAGCCAGCCAAACUGAGCAGACGAGAACGAACACUCCGAUGAGAGCGACCGAACUGAAGCCGGUGAAAUAUCGCAAGUACUGAGUUCUCUCGUGGUUGAUUCCCAAAAACUGUGGCUCUGUGGCGUCUCAUACCCAUCCUAAGUAGCUUUGGUGCCGGUCUGCCUGCGCCGUGUGGUGCCCCGAAGUAUCGUUUACUUAAAAACCGGGCUUGUUCAGCUGCUUCGCAAAUGAUCGCUUGUGCCUAGACGCAAUAGCAGACAUGCAUACAGACUUGUCCCGUCACCUGCAUUCGGAGGAAUGUAACAACAUUAUAGCGUUAAUGAUGCAGUGUUACAAAGAGAACAAAUGGGCCAAGUUCUUUGGGGCCUGCAAUGAUAUCGACGUAGAAAUGAGGCGCUGUUUAAAGAAAGAGCGGCUGGAAAAACGUGCGAAGAACUACGAGAAAUCGAACGCGAAACGGCUUCGCGAUCAGCAGUCAUAAAACAGCUAUGUGUUAGUGUACUGUAGCGAAAAAAAGAA
rnacentral:lncRNA from 1 species